rnacentral:rRNA from 1 species
GUUUGUUUGGAGUUAUAAGAAUUUGACCUGCCCCCUGAUUAGGCCGCAGUAUUAUAACUGUGCAAAGGUAGCAUAAUCAUUAGGUUUUUAAUUGAAAUCUUGUAUGAAUGGUUGGACAAAAGAAAGACUCUCUUUAUAUUAAGUUUUGAAUUUAACUUUUAAGUGAAAAGGCUUAAAUAUUCUAAAGGGACGAUAAGACCCUAUAAAACUUUACAGUUAUUAGUUUUGAUUGAAUUUAUAAAUAAGAAUUUUAUUUGAUUAUUUGUUAUGUUGGGGAGACACAAGUAAAAUAUUUUUUAACUGCUUGACAAUUAUACAAUUAUUAGUGGAUCCUUUUUAAGAUUAGUAGAUUAAGUUACUUUAGGGAUAACAGUGUAAUUUCUUUUGAGAGUUCUAAUCGAAAAAGAAGGUUGCGACCUCGAUGUUGAAUUAAAAUAUCUAUAUAAUGGAGAGGUUAUAUAAGAAGGUCUGUUCGACCUUGAAAUUUUUACAUGA